UAUUAUAUUUAAUAUUAAACUCUAAAUAUUUGAUUAUUAACAGAUAUACACUUUAAAUUCAAAGAAUUUGGCGGUAUUUUAGUCUUGUUAGAGGAACCUGUUUUAUAAUCGAUAAACCACGUGUAUCUCACUUAUUUUAAAUAACUUGUAUACCGUCAUUAUUAGAUAACUUUCAAAAAAUUAGUUAUUAAAAUUAAAUAAAAUUAAAUAUAUUAGAUCAAGGUGCAGUCAAUAAAUAAGAAAAAAUGGGUUACAAUAAAAUUUAUUUAAAACGAAUUAUAUAAAUGAAAAAAUAUAUGAAGGAGGAUUUAAUUGUAAUUUUUUAAUAAAAUAAUAAUAUGAUAUCAGCUCUAAAAUAU
rnacentral:rRNA from 1 species